GAGGGAGAUUAUUUUGAAAUCUUACUUGUAUGAGUGAAAGAUUCGGACGGAAAUUUUCAACCCAAAACCUUUUUUCUUGUAGCGAUUUAGUGAGACGAAUAGAAGGGAAUGAAUGAAACCCUUGUUAGCCGUUUUUGUUUGCGAUUGAAACCCUAAAAAUCGCCCUUCACAGCCCUGAAAUUCAAAUUUCUUCAAAGUGAUGAAGUGGAUUUCACUGGUAUAAUGAACGCACCACUUCG
rnacentral:lncRNA from 1 species